GAUGAACGCUGGCGGCGUGCUUAACACAUGCAAGUCGAACGAAGCAUUUUAACUUGAUUUCUUCGGAAUGAUUGUUACUUUGACUGAGUGGCGGACGGGUGAGUAACGCGUGGGUAACCUGCCUCAUACAGGGGGAUAACAGUUAGAAAUGACUGCUAAUACCGCAUAAGCGCACAGUACCGCAUGGUACAGUGUGAAAAACUCCGGUGGUAUGAGAUGGACCCGCGUCUGAUUAGCUAGUUGGUGGGGUAACGGCCUACCAAGGCGACGAUCAGUAGCCGACCUGAGAGGGUGACCGGCCACAUUGGGACUGAGACACGGCCCAAACUCCUACGGGAGGCAGUAGUGGGGAAUAUUGCACAAUGGGCGAAAGCCUGAUGCAGCGACGCCGCGUGAAUGAAGAAGUAUUUCGGUAUGUAAAGUUCUAUCAGCAGGGAAGAUAAUAACGGUACCUGACUAAGAAGCACCGGCUAAAUACGUGCCAGCCGCCGCUGUAAUAC
rnacentral:rRNA from 1 species